rnacentral:rRNA from 1 species
GAGAACUGAAAGGCUUUUUGAAGUCUUCGGAUGGAUAGAAGAACCCCUGAUGCCGUCGAGCCAAGAAAAGUUUCUAAGUUUAGCUAAUGUUGCCCGUACCGUAAACCGACACAGGUGGGUGGGAUGAGUAUUCUAAGGCGCGUGGAAGAACUCUCUUUAAGGAACUCUGCAAAAUAGCACCGUAUCUUCGGUAUAAGGUGUGGUUAGCUUCGUACUAGGAUUUACUCCGAAAGCGAAGAAACUUACAACAAAGAGUCCCUCCCGACUGUUUACCAAAAACACAGCACUCUGCUAACUCGUAAGAGGAUGUAUAGGGUGUGACGCCUGCCCGGUGCUCGAAGGUUAAUUGAUGGGGUUAGCAUUAGCGAAGCUCUUGAUCGAAGCCCGAGUAAACGGCGGCCGUAACUAUAACGGUCCUAAGGUAGCGAAAUUCCUUGUCGGUUAAAUACCGACCUGCAUGAAUGGCGUAACGAGAUGGGAGCUGUCUCAAAGAGGGAUCCAGUGAAAUUGUAGUGGAGGUGAAAAUUCCUCCUACCCGCGGCAAGACGGAAAGACCCCGUGGACCUUUACUACAGCUUGACACUGCUAUUUGGAUAAGAAUGUGCAGGAUAGGUGGGAGGCUUUGAGUAUAUGACGCCAGUUGUAUAGGAGCCAUUGUUGAGAUACCACUCUUUCUUAUUUGGGUAGCUAACCAGCUUGAGUUAUCCUCAAGUGGGACAAUGUCUGGUGGGUAGUUUGACUGGGGCGGUCGCCUCCCAAAUAAUAACGGAGGCUUACAAAGGUUGGCUCAGAACGGUUGGAAAUCGUUCAUAGAGUAUAAAGGUAUAAGCCAGCUUAACUGCAAGACAUACAAGUCAAGCAGAGACGAAAGUCGGUCUUAGUGAUCCGGUGGUUCUGUGUGGAAGGGCCAUCGCUCAAAGGAUAAAAGGUACCCCGGGGAUAACAGGCUGAUCUCCCCCAAGAGCUCACAUCGACGGGGAGGUUUGGCACCUCGAUGUCGGCUCAUCGCAUCCUGGGGCUGGAGCAGGUCCCAAGGGUAUGGCUGUUCGCCAUUUAAAGCGGUACGCGAGCUGGGUUCAGAACGUCGUGAGACAGUUCGGUCCCUAUCUGCCGUGGGCGUAAGAAGAUUGAAGAGAUUUGACCCUAGUACGAGAGGACCGGGUUGAACAAACCACUGGUGUAGCUGUUGUUCUGCCAAGAGCAUCGCAGCGUAGCUAAGUUUGGAAAGGAUAAACGCUGAAAGCAUCUAAGCGUGAAGCCAACUCUAAGAUGAAUCUUCUCUAAGCUCUCUAGAAGACUACUAGUUUGAUAGGCUGGGUGUGUAAUGGAUGAAAGUCCUUUAGCUGACCAGUACUAAUAGAGCGUUUGGCUUAUCUUUAAUAAAGCAU